UGCAAGUAGAACGCUGACUACUUUAGCUUGCUAGAGUAGAAGGAGUUGCGAACGGGUGAGUAACGCGUAGGUAACCUGCCUACUAGCGGGGGAUAACUAUUGGAAACGAUAGCUAAUACCGCAUAACAGUGUUUAACACAUGUUAGAUGCUUGAAAGAUGCAAAUGCAUCACUAGUAGAUGGACCUGCGUUGUAUUAGCUAGUUGGUGGGGUAACGGCCUACCAAGGCGACGAUACAUAGCCGACCUGAGAGGGUGAUCGGCCACACUGGGACUGAGACACGGCCCAGACUCCUACGGGAGGCAGCAGUAGGGAAUCUUCGGCAAUGGGGGCAACCCUGACCGAGCAACGCCGCGUGAGUGAAGAAGGUUUUCGGAUCGUAAAGCUCUGUUGUAAGAGAAGAACGUGUGUGA
rnacentral:rRNA from 1 species